UACGAAGGGUGCAAGCGUUACUCGGAAUUACUGGGCGUAAAGCGUGCGUAGGUGGUUCGUUAAGUCUGAUGUGAAAGCCCUGGGCUCAACCUGGGAACUGCAUUGGAUACUGGCGGUCUAGAGUGCGGUAGAGGGUGGCGGAAUUCCCGGUGUAGCAGUGAAACGCGUAGAUAUCGGGAGGAACAUCCGUGGCGAAGGCGGCCGCCUGGACCAGCACUGACACUGAGGCACGAAAGCGUGGGGAGCAAACAGG
rnacentral:rRNA from 1 species